AUACACGGAGGCCAGGCAGCGUGGAGUUAGUCCACCGUUGCGAGUCAUUGAGCCUCGGAAGGUGAGUCCAAAGCCGAGAGCCUCAGGACCUCCGGCCAAGGCCAAGGAGACAGGAAAGAGGAAGUCCUCCUCUCCACGGAGCACCAGUAGCCCAAAUAAGAAGACUACCAAGGUGGCCAAGAAGGGAAAAGCAGCUCGUGGAGGGAGAGGCAGGAAGAAAGGGGCUGCGACAAAGAAGGCAGCUGCGACAAAGAUGGCGGCCUCGACAAAGAUGGCGGCCGUGACGGCACCUGAGGCGGAGAGCGGGCCAGCGGCACCCGGCGCCAGCGACCAGCCCAGCCAGGAGCUGCCUCAGCACGAGCUGCCGCCGGAGGAGCCAGUGAGCGAGGGGAGCCAGCACGACCCACUGAGUCAGGAGACGGAACUGGAGGAACCACCGCGUCAGGAGACCGAGCUGGAGGAACCACUGAGUCAGGAGACCGAGCUGGAGGAACCACUGCAUCAGGAGACCGAGCCGGAAGAACCACCGAGUGUGUGGACGGCCGAGUACUUCCGUAUCUCUGAGAGCAGAGACUAAGUUCAGGCCCAGCCGCCAGACCUCAGAGAUCUCACCAGCGGGGUGUUUGCCAUUCUGAUGAUAAUAAAAUGAAUGUGUUGCAAAUUG